GAUGAACGCUGGCGGCGUGCCUAAUACAUGCAAGUCGAGCGAACAGACGAGGAGCUUGCUCCUCUGACGUUAGCGGCGGACGGGUGUGUAACACGUGGAUAACCUACCUAUAAGACUGGGAUAACUUCGGGAAACCGGAGCUAAUACCGGAUAAUAUAUUGAACCGCAUGGUUCAAUAGUGAAAGACGGUUUUGCUGUCACUUAUAGAUGGAUCCGCGCGGCAUUAGCGAGUUGGUAAGGUAACGGCUUACCAAGGCAACGAUGCGUAGCCGACCUGCGAGGGGGAUCGGCCACACGGGAACUGAGAGGCGGCACAGACACUUACGGGAGGCAGCAAUAGGGAAUGUUGCGAAAUGGGCGAAAGCCUGAAGGAGCAACGCCGCGUGAGUGAUGAAGGUCUUCGGAUCGGAAAACUCUGUUAUUAGGGAAGAACAAAUGUGUAAGUAACUAUGCACGACUGGACGGAACCGAAUCAGAAAGCCACGGCAAACUACGU
rnacentral:rRNA from 1 species